rnacentral:rRNA from 1 species
CAAACUGGAGAUGGCGACCGGCGCACGGGUGAGUAACACGUAUCCAACCUGCCGAUAACUCGGGGAUAGCCUUUCGAAAGAAAGAUUAAUACCCGAUGGCAUAGUUCUUCCGCAUGGUGGAACUAUUAAGGAAUUUCGGUCAUCGAUGGGGAUGCGUUCCAUUAGGUUGUUGGUGGGGUAACGGCCCACCAAACCUUCGAUGGAUAGGGGUUCUGAGAGGAAGGUCCCCCACAUUGGAACUGAGACACGGUCCAAACUCCUACGGGAGGCAGCAUG